rnacentral:lncRNA from 1 species
CCCUUCCUUCGGCCCCGCCCAGCCCCGCCGGCCGCCCGCUCCCUGGGGAACCGAGGGAGGAAUGGGCGGGGUCCUCAGGUGCCCGGCGACGUCAUCCAGCCCCCAAGGCUCCAGGACGCAAAGGGUCCCCUGAUCUGGCAGUCCCUGGACCUACCCUGGAGAGCGUGGGGGGACAAAGGCCGGACGCGCCGCCCGCUGCCGCCUCCAGGAAGCCCUCCCUUGCCAGGACAGUGGAGUUGGCCGGCUGAACAGGAAAAGGAACAGUAAGUACAAAGCAAGGCAACAUCAGAAAAGGGAGCCCUGAGGAAUUUCUCCCUCCUUCCCUGAGCCGGGUGAGGCCGUGACUGCAGCCUGACUCACAGGUCCUUCCAAAGUGCCUACGGAAAGCUUUGUCCCAUCCUUGAAAAAUUGCUAAUGGGUUUGGAGAUACGAGGUGGAGAUGACUAGCAAUCAAACUCAAAGGUGGAAGUCACAUCGAGGCAGAUGAGCAGAUGAGGGGACCUAGAGAAGAAGAGAGGUGCAAGGAGAGCCCAGCCAGCAGGAACAUCUGCCCCAGUAGGCAGCACUGCCCCACAUCAGAGUCGAGGAAAGCAAAGCUCGGAUUGGAUAAAAGAAACUUGCAAACACGGUCAGUGCUUACUGCAUGUGGGCUCAGAGCACGUUACCCUCCUUCCCUGCAUGUUCCUGUGAAACGGGUUUACUGCUCUAACUCUCAGGGACACUGUGAAGACCAAACGAGAAAAUAGAAACAAACAUAAUUUAUAAACCAUAAAGUACUGACACCAAAAGAGGGGCGAGCACAGCAUUGUGAAUGUGCUGGUACUAAAUGGUUUGUUUUAAGAUGAUUUUAUGGUGUGUGAAUUUCACUUGAAUAAAUUUUUUUAAUGGAGUUCAUGGGGACGCUGCAGGAUGUCAAUUAACUUUGGACAUUUUAGCAGCGCUUUAGGUGUUAAAAUUAUUUUUUAAAAAAUACAGGAUGAAGGGAAAAGCUUCAUGACAUUGGAUUUGGCAGUGAUUCCUUGGAUAUGACCCCAAAAGCACAGAUAACGAAAGAAAAAAUAGUUAAAUUGUCUUCAUCAAAAUUAAAACUUUUGUACAUCAAAGAACUCUUUCAAAAGAGUGAAAAAGUCACAGAAUAAGAGAAAAUCAUAUACCUGAUAAAGAAUUAAUAUUCAGAGCCAGAUGCAGUGGCUCAUGCCUGUAAUCCCAGCACUUUGGGAGGCCAAGGCAGGCAGAUCACUUGAGAUCAGGAGUUCGAGACAAGCCUGGCUAAAAUGGUGAAACCCCAGCUCUACUAAAAAUACAAAAAUUAGCCAGGCGUGGUGGCGUGCACCUGGAAUCCCAGCUAUUCGGGAGGCUGAGGCAGGAGAAUCGCUUGAACUCAGAAGGCAGAGGUUGCAGUGAGCCAAGAUCACACCACUGCACUCCAGCCUGGGCGACAAAGUGAGACUCCAUCUCAAAAAAACAAAACAAAACAAAACAAAACAAAGAGUUACUAUUCAGAAUAUAUUAAGAAUUCCUACAACUCAACAACAAAAAAAAAUCCAACCCAAUUAAAAAAUGGGCAACAGACCCAAAUAGACAUUUCUUAGAAGACACACAAAUGGCCAAUAAGCUCAUGAAAACAUGUUUAACAUCACUAAUCAUUAGGGAAAUGCAAAUCAAAGCUAAAAUGAGAUACCACGUCACACUCAUUAGGUGUUAUUUUUUAAAAAUAACACAACAACAAAAAAUAAGAAAUGUGGGCGAGGAUGUGAAGAAAUUGAAACCCUUGUGGACUGUUGUUGGGGAUGUAAAAUGGCGCAGCUGCUGGGGAAAACAGUAUGGGAGUUCCUCACAAAACUAAACAGAAUUGCCAAACGACCCAGCGAUCCUGCCUCUGACAUAUACUGGAAAGAACUGAAAUAAGGCGCUGGAACAGACACUUGUAACCCAUGUUCACAGCUGAGCCAAAAGGUGGGAGUAACCCAAAUGUCCAUCAGUGGAUGAAUACUGGCAAUAAAAGCUGUGUCUGGAGGCCACUCCGUUUCACACAGCUCUCCACACGGGUGAGGGCACAGCCUUCUCGUCUCUUUCCUAUGCUGCAUCUUCAGAGCUAGCUAUGAUAUGAUAUGAUGUGAUAUGUACAUAUCGAAUAUACAUGUUUUACAUGCAAA